rnacentral:lncRNA from 1 species
GGCCCACAGACUGGUAUUUUGCCAUAACAUCCCACUCCACGAGAGCUCUCAGACUGGAUGCAUAGGUGGAAUAAGAGAUGAUUUCUUUAUGUAUGAGCGUAGUGAUUAAUGUUUACCUGACAAGAAAUUUUGGUGCUUUCCAUUCUCUGGAACAGGUCCAAAUUGAGAGUGUGUGAAAGCCUGAAGACGGAUCGGUAAAGAAGAUAAUGUGGGCUCAGGUUCUCUCCAACAAAGAGGAAAUUUGAAAAUGGUUUUCCUUGAUGUCAGGCUACUGAGUGGAAGUUAUUUCCCUGGGGACGAAGACAGUGAAGGAAUGCAAGGCUCAUCAUUUCUCUUCUUUCCAGAGAGACCACAUGAGAAUGAGAUGAGCAGAUGACCAUCCCUACACAUAGGGGUGAUCUAAAAACCACCAUUACCUCUAUCACAGAAUUACAGAGUCACAGAGUCACAGAGUCACAGAGUCACAGAAUCAAAGAAUGGUUGAGAUUGGAAGAGAACUCUGGAGGUCAACACCCCUUUUUAGGCAAGACCACCUACAGCAGGUGCUCAGGACCAUGUCCAGAAGGCUCUUGAAGAUCUCCAAGGAGACUUCACAACCUCUCUGGGCAACCUGUGCCAGUGCUUCGUCACCCACAUAAUAAAGAAGUGCUUCCUGAUGUUGAGACA